CCGAGUUUUCAACUCCCAAACCCCAUGUGAACUUAUACCAAUCUUUGCUUCGGCGGGCCGCCUGGGGACUCAAACUCUAGAUUUUUUACUUUAGCAUGUCUGAGUGGAAUCAUUACAAAAUGAAUCA
rnacentral:misc_RNA from 1 species